UACAGAGGGGGCAAGCGUUGUUCGGAAUUACUGGGCGUAAAGGGCGCGUAGGCGGCCUUCUAAGUCGAACGUGAAAUCCCUGGGCUCAACCCAGGAACUGCGUCCGAUACUGCAAGGCUUGAAUCUGGCAGAGGGGGGUAGAAUUCCACGUGUAGCAGUGAAAUGCGUAGAGAUCAGGAGGAACACCCAUGGCGAAGGCAGCUCUCUGGUCGACCUCUGACGCUGGAGACGCGAAAGCGUGGGUAGCAAACAGG
rnacentral:rRNA from 1 species